rnacentral:rRNA from 1 species
CACUCCUACGGGAGGCAGCAGUGGGGAAUAUUGGACAAUGGGCGCAAGCCUGAUCCAGCCAUGCCGCGUGAGUGAUGAAGGCCCUAGGGUUGUAAAGCUCUUUCACCGGUGAAGAUAAUGACGGUAACCGGAGAAGAAGCCCCGGCUAACUUCGUGCCAGCAGCCGCGGUAAUACGAAGGGGGCUAGCGUUGUUCGGAUUUACUGGGCGUAAAGCGCACGUAGGCGGACUAUUAAGUCAGGGGUGAAAUCCCGGGGCUCAACCCCGGAACUGCCUUUGAUACUGGUAGUCUUGAGUUCGAGAGAGGUGAGUGGAAUUCCGAGUGUAGAGGUGAAAUUCGUAGAUAUUCGGAGGAACACCAGUGGCGAAGGCGGCUCACUGGCUCGAUACUGACGCUGAGGUGCGAAAGCGUGGGGAGCAAACAGGAUUAGAAACCCAGGUAGUCCC